rnacentral:lncRNA from 1 species
UUCACUGAGCCCCUAUUGUUGUGUAAUUGUGAACCCUUCAUACUCUGCGACUUCUCACCCUGGAGCUAAGAAUCAGUUCCUUCCACUUCACGGGCUGGUUUUCCAAAUUUCAGUGUGUCAUCUACUUCUGCUGGGACCCUGACUGCUACCUACUCUCUCAGAGACCCGUGGAAAGGCAGCCACGUAUCCUACAUGAGCCCACACACUCAGGUUACCACGGACGAGACCAGAGACAGAAAAGAAGGCACAGAGAGAAAGCCACGUGAAGACAGAGGCAGAGAUUGGAAUUAUGAAUCUCAAGACAAGGAAGGGCAAGGGUUGCCAGGAGCCACCAGAAGCUAGGAGAGAGGCAUGGAGCGGAUUCUCCCUCGCAGCCUCCGGAGGGAGCACGGCCCUGCUGACGCCUUGAUUUUGGACUUGCGGCUUUCAGAAUGCAUUAUUCACAAUACCCAAGACUCGGAAGCAACCUAGGUGCCCAUCAAGGGAUGAAUGGAUAAAGAAGAUGUGGUAUAUAUACACACUGGAAUACUACUCAGCCAUAAGAAAUGAUGCAAUCCGGCCAUUUGUGACAACAUGGAUGGACCUUGAGGGCAUUAUGCUAAGUGAAAUAAGUCAGAGGGAGAAAGUCAAAUACCAUAUGAUCUCACUUAUAAGUAGAAAAUUCAAAAAAUGACAAACAGAGAGAAACAGAGAUUAGAUUGCUGGCUACCAGAGGGCAAGGGGAGAGAGAAGAGAGGAAAAGGAGUGAUUAGGCGCAUGUGUGUGGUGAUGGGUUGUAAUUGGUCUUUGGGUGGUGAACAUGAUGUAAUCUACACAAAAAACGAACUCUAUAAUGAUGUACACCUGAAAUUUAUAUAAUGUUAUAAACCAAGGUUACCACAAUAAAAAUAAAAUGAAAUAAAACAAAAUAAUUAAAACAUAUAUAUAUAAAA